UGCCGCGUGGGUGAUGAAGGCCUUCGGGUCGUAAAGCCCUGUCAACAGGGAAGAAAUCCUGGAUUCAAAUAGGGUUCAGGAUUGACGGUACCUGUGGAGGAAGCACCGGCUAACUCCGUGCCAGCAGCCGCGGUAAAACGGAGAGUGCAAGCGUUGUUCGGAAUUACUGGGCGUAAAGCGCGUGCAGGUGGCUUUUUAAGUUUCGUGUGAAAGCCCACGGCCUAACCGUGGAAUUGCACGGAAAACUGGAAGACUUGAGUACGGGAGAAGAGGGCGGAAUUCCCAGUGUAGAGGUGAAAUUCGUAGAUAUUGGGAGGAACACCGGUGGCGAAAGCGGCUCUCUAGACCGAUACUGACGCUCAUACGCGAAAGCAUGGGUAGCAAACAGGAUUAGAUACCCUGGUAGUCCAUGCUGUAAACGAUGGAUGCUAGAUGUCGCGGGAUUGACCCCUGCAGUGUCGAAGUCAACACAUUAAGCAUCCCGCCUGGGAAGUACGGUCGCAAGACUAAAACUCAAAGGAAUUGACGGGGGCCCGCACAAGCGGUGGAGCAUGUGGUUCAAUUCGACGCAACGCGAAGAACCUUACCUGGACUUGACAUCUGGAGAAUUUUCUAGAAAUAGAGAAGUGCUCGCAAGAGAACUCCAAGACAGGUGCUGCAUGGUGGUCGUCAGCUCGUGUCGUGAGAUGUGGG
rnacentral:rRNA from 1 species